UGUAUGUGUGUAUUUAUUUUACCUAUGUAUACAUUCAUUAUAUAUCUUUGUUAUUUUACUAGAUAAAUGUAGGACUGAUGGUGCCACAUGAAACUGAUGGAGCCGAUUUAAAACCUCUACGAGGGAAAACACUCCCGUUAUUUGCAGACCCGGAGUGGAUGAUACCUCAGACUCUGAUUCUGAAACUGUCAUCACAACAAGGAGCACAGCUGAAUUCAAUCGAGCUGACACUUUGGUUUUUGACCCACAAAAUCGAAGUACUCCCAAACUCAAACUGGAAGAUGAAAGAGAUGCACCAGGACAUUCAUCAACAAUUCGGCCAGGACAGAUAGUAAUAUCUGAUGCUGAGGAUCUGGAUCCACCUGAAAAAAAUCCAGAAAAAACUUCUUGCUACAGUAAAUACACAGACCUAUAUUCACCAAAUGUUGAG